rnacentral:rRNA from 1 species
AGAACGAACGCUGGCGGCACGCCUAACACAUGCAAGUCGAGCGCCCAGCAAUGGGAGCGGCGGACGGGUGAGGAACACGUGGGAAUAUGCCUUUCGGUUCGGCACAACUGCGGGAAACUGCAGCUAAUUCCGGAUACGCCCUUACGGGGAAAGAUUUAUCGCCGAAAGAUUAGCCCGCGUCUGAUUAGCUAGUUGGUGAGGUAAUGGCUCACCAAGGCUUCGAUCAGUAGCUGGUUUGAGAGAACGACCAGCCACACUGGGACUGAGACACGGCCCAGACUCCUACGGGAGGCAGCAGUGGGGAAUCUUGGACAAUGGAGGAAACUCUGAUCCAGCGACGCCGCGUGUGUGAAGAAGGCCUGCGGGUUGUAAAGCACUUUUAGUGGGGAUGAAAAGCUCAGGGUUAACACCUCUGGGUCUUGACCUAACCCACAGAAAAGCACCGGCUAACUCUGUGCCAGCAGCCGCGGUAA